rnacentral:rRNA from 1 species
GAUCAUGGCUCAGGAUGAACGCUAGCGACAGGCUUAACACAUGCAAGUCGAGGGGCAGCAUGAUUUGUAGCAAUACAGAUUGAUGGCGACCGGCGCACGGGUGAGUAACACGUAUCCAACCUUCCCGUUACUCUGGAAUAGCCUUUCGAAAGAAAGAUUAAUACCGGAUAGUAUCGAGAGAUUGCAUGAUUACCCGAUUAAAGAUUCAUCGGUAACGGAUGGGGAUGCGUUCCA